UUGGACAUGCAUCGUUUUUUUGACUAAAAAUUUUCCAACUCUUACUUUCAAUUUUGAAAAUCCCUUGUAUUAUCUUCAUCAAUCUUUGAUUUUUACCUCUAUAUAUGAUUGUUUCUCCUCUGAUUCUGUUUAUUUCAUCUUCAUUUUCUCUGUCACUCUGUCACCUAACACCAUCUAUGAUCUGUUCACUUUUUUGUUUUCCCUAGGCUUUGCCAUUGCAAAUCACAAAUCACAAUUCACUACCUUUGCUCUACAUACUCAUAACACCAUUCACCAUGUCCUAGAAGCUUAAGGCUGCGUUUCGGGGGGCUUUUUAGCUCCCCUGCUUAUAAGCACAAGACCCAAUUGUGUUCGGUAACCCAGCUUCUUGUCUGCUUUUUCCAGAAGCCACUGCGCCUCACCCCUGCUUUUAAAAGCCGAAGAAGCAGAAGCCAGUUUACAAGUGUAGCGCUGAGUUAAUGAAUCUUUUGAAAUACCAAUGGGUACCCUCAUGGAUUAAGAGUUAUUACGGCCCAAUAACGCUGCUCUUCCAUUCGCGUCUUCUUCCUCAUCUCUGCCGCUCUCCUUCAUAGAUGUCGAUCAAAACCCGAGGAUGGUUGUCGGAGUAAGUAGAGAAGGAAGCAAAACCCGAGAAAAAGGAUUAGUAGUGGUUCAGAAUCUGAGAAGGAAGACUGGAAGAGAGAGACGCGAUGGACUGACGUCAUUUUGAUUUUCUGGUUGAGUGUUUUUGAUCAUGUCUUGGUGCACGAUUGAGUCCGACCCAGGGCUUAUUUAGCAGAUGCAAGUAAAAGGUGUGCAGCUCUUGCCGGUCUUGGUGAUUUACUUGAAUAGUGAAGAUGGUGGCAAGCAUUGAGGCUGCGAAUGGAUUGGGAAUUAUGCACUCUGUUCAGAAUUUCAAUGAUUUGGGACUGCAUUGGCGAAAAUUUAAUAAGCACGAUGCUCUUGAAGUUUAUGUUUAAUAUAACAAUAUAUACAUGAGUUGGUUAUUUUUAGCGUAUGCUUCAUAUGAUAAUCUUUGACAGGUUAGGUCUAAUGGUUGUGGGAGGCCUAAUCUUGGCAUCUUUCAUGACAUAUGCGUCGGAGCACCUUGCAACUAGAUCAUUCUUGAGAGGCCUUGAAGACCGAGAUGCUACGAGAAGUAGGAGCUUUUGUUAGAUAAGUUCACUGGUGACAAAACUGAGCAUGUAAAACUAUUGACCAAAAGACCAAGUAUGUCCUGUAAGCAGUGUUUGAUGCUUCUGUUGUAAUCUGUUUCACAUGGAACGCCUAGAUGAAUUUGUAAAUUAUUGCCAGAAAAUCUGUUGAUAAGUUCUUUUUCUCCAGGAAAUUUUGUUGUAACAUUGUUACGGAAACUAUUAAUAAUAUUGUUAACAUUCUUUUGCACAA